AUUCCCUAGUCGCCUUUUUACCAACAUUAGGGCUCCAAUCCUUGAGUUGAGAUUUUAGACAUAGGGCCUCCAUUCCCUAGUCGCCUUUUUACCAACAUUAGGGCUCCAAUCCCUUAGUUGAGAUUUUAAACAUAGGGCCUCCAUACUCUAGUCGCCUUUUGCCAAUAUUAGGGCUCCAAUCCCCGAGUUGAGAUUUUAGACAUAAGGCCUCCAUUCCCUAGUCGCCUUUUGCCAACAUUAGGGCUCCAAUCCUUGGAUUGAUAUUUUCAGACAUAAGGCCUCCAUUCCCUAGUCACCUUUUUCCCAACAUUAGGGCCCCAAUCCCUGAGUUGAGAUUUUCAGACAUAGGGCCUCCAUUCCCUAGUCGCCUUUUGCCAACAUUAGGGCUCCAAUCCUUGAGUUGAGAUUUUAAGACAUAGGGCCUCCAUUCCUUAGUCGCCUUUUCUUUACCAACAUUAGGGCUCCAAUCCCUGAGUUGAGAUUUUCAGACAUAGGGCCUCCAUUCCCUAGUCGCCUUUU
rnacentral:lncRNA from 1 species